UAGGGAAUAUUGGACAAUGGGGGCAACCCUGAUCCAGCCAUGCCGCGUGAGUGAAGAAGGCCCUCGGGUUGUAAAGCUCUUUUGUCCGGAAAGAAAAGCUUCGGGUUAAUACCCCGGGGUUCUGACGGUACCGGAAGAAUAAGCACCGGCUAACUUCGUGCCAGCAGCCGCGGUAAUACGAAGGGUGCAAGCGUUACUCGGAAUUACUGGGCGUAAAGCGUGCGCAGGCGGUUUUGUAAGACAGAGGUGAAAUCCCCGGGCUCAACCUGGGAACUGCCUUUGNGACUGCAAGGCUGGAGUGCGGCAGAGGGGGAUGGAAUUCCGCGUGUAGCAGUGAAAUGCGUAGAUAUGCGGAGGAACACCGAUGGCGAAGGCAAUCCCCUGGGCCUGCACUGACGCUCAUGCACGAAAGCGUGGGGAGCAAACA
rnacentral:rRNA from 1 species